AAAUAAAAGGACUCAAUCAAACACAAUUUUGGACCGAUUAAAAUGAAGAAAAUACUCAAUGUAAUGACUCAAAGCACAACAACUCAAGAACAAACAAAAUUAGAAAUCCUAAUGACACAUAUAUGAAGAGCUUUCAUGAACAAUAAAAACACAAAACUCAACAGAGAAGACAAUACAAACAGAUCAAGACAUUAAAGGAAAUUUGAUUAACAACGCNGAUCAUGAACAAAAUAAAUGUGAAUCAAAAUGAACAUAUCAACAUAUCCAAGCGAAUCAACACAUACUAGACAAAACAGAUUCGGAAGAAACAAGACUCAAAGCAAAACGAACAUUUCACA
rnacentral:lncRNA from 1 species